UACGUAGGGCGCAAGCGUUGUCCGGAAUUAUUGGGCGUAAAGAGCUCGUAGGCGGUUUGUCGCGUCUGCUGUGAAAACCUAAGGCUCAACCUUGGGCUUGCAGUGGGUACGGGCAGACUAGAGUGCGGUAGGGGUGACUGGAAUUCCUGGUGUAGCGGUGGAAUGCGCAGAUAUCAGGAGGAACACCUAUAGCGAAGGCAGCUUGCUGGGACGUUACUGACGCUAAGGCGCGAAAGCGUGGGGAGCGAACAGG
rnacentral:rRNA from 1 species